UGCAAGUCGAGCGGACCGACGGGAGCUUGCUCCCUUAGGUCAGCGGCGGACGGGUGAGUAACACGUGGGUAACCUGCCUGUAAGACUGGGAUAACUCCGGGAAACCGGGGCUAAUACCGGAUGCUUGAUUGAACCGCAUGGUUCAAUCAUAAAAGGUGGCUUUUAGCUACCACUUGCAGAUGGACCCGCGGCGCAUUAGCUAGUUGGUGAGGUAACGGCUCACCAAGGCGACGAUGCGUAGCCGACCUGAGAGGGUGAUCGGCCACACUGGGACUGAGACACGGCCCAGACUCCUACGGGAGGCAGCAGUAGGGAAUCUUCCGCAAUGGACGAAAGUCUGACGGAGCAACGCCGCGUGAGUGAUGAAGGUUUUCGGAUCGUAAAACUCUGUUGUUAGGGAAGAACAAGUACCGUUCGAAUAGGGCGGCACCUUGACGGUACCUAACCAGAAAGCCACGGCUAACUACGUGCCAGCAGCCGCGGUAAUACGUAGGUGGCAAGCGUUGUCCGGAAUUAUUGGGCGUAAAGCGCGCGCAGGCGGUUUCUUAAGUCUGAUGUGAAAGCCCCCGGCUCAACCGGGGAGGGUCAUUGGAAACUGGGGAACUUGAGUGCAGAAGAGGAGAGUGGAAUUCCACGUGUAGCGGUGAAAUGCGUAGAGAUGUGGAGGAACACCAGUGGCGAAGGCGACUCUCUGGUCUGUAACUGACGCUGAGGCGCGAAAGCGUGGGGAGCGAACAGGAUUAGAUACCCUGGUAGUCCACGCCGUAAACGAUGAGUGCUAAGUGUUAGAGGGUUUCCGCCCUUUAGUGCUGCAGCAAACGCAUUAAGCACUCCGCCUGGGGAGUACGGUCGCAAGACUGAAACUCAAAGGAAUUGACGGGGGCCCGCACAAGCGGUGGAGCAUGUGGUUUAAUUCGAAGCAACGCGAAGAACCUUACCAGGUCUUGACAUCCUCUGACAACCCUAGAGAUAGGGCUUCCCCUUCGGGGGCAGAGUGACAGGUGGUGCAUGGUUGUCGUCAGCUCGUGUCGUGAGAUGUUGGGUUAAGUCCCGCAACGAGCGCAACCCUUGAUCUUAGUUGCCAGCAUUCAGUUGGGCACUCUAAGGUGACUGCCGGUGACAACCCGGAGGAA
rnacentral:rRNA from 1 species